AAUCCAUAGGUUAAUGAGGCGAACCGGGGGAACUGAAACAUCUAAGUACCCCGAGGAAAAGAAAUCAACCGAGAUUCCCCCAGUAGCGGCGAGCGAACGGGGAGGAGCCCAGAGCCUGAAUCAGCAUGUGUGUUAGUGGAAGCGUCUGGAAAGGCGCGCGAUACAGGGUGACAGCCCCGUACACAAAAGCGCAUGUGCUGUGAGCUCGAUGAGUAGGGCGGGACACGUGGUAUCCUGUCUGAAUAUGGGGGGACCAUCCUCCAAGGCUAAAUACUCCUGACUGACCGAUAGUGAACCAGUACCGUGAGGGAAAGGCGAAAAGAACCCCGGCGAGGGGAGUGAAAAAGAACCUGAAACCGUGUACGUACAAGCAGUGGGAGCCCCACCACCAAAGCAUUUGCUGUACCGCGUUGACGG
rnacentral:rRNA from 2 species